GAGGUCAACCCCUACCAGGAAGCAAAUGAUCCACCUUGUGACGAAUCCUCAGAGGGUCAAUCGUAGCCUAACCUGAGGUCACAGCGCCUAAGUCACUCACAGCACUUCAUGUCAUUGUGUGGACAUUUUAUCACCUCCCGUCACCACAAGAAGGCAUAUCAUCAUCCCGUGUCAAUAGGUAGGUUUCCACAUCAGUAUUUUUAAAGGUGUGUAUUAACCAAUUUUACUAUAAUUUAAUCAAUUUCUUAUAUUGUUGAAUAUAUAGGUUGUUUUAACAUUUUUACCAUUAUAUACAAUGUUGCUGUUGACAUUCUCACAGUUAAGUCUUUAACUUCAUUAUCUUACAUGUCUGGUAGAAUUUGAGGGAGAAAAGAUACGUAUAUUCUAAGUUUUUUGUUGUUACUGAAUGCCAAAUUACAUUCAGUUCAGUAUAACUGAAACUUAUAGAAGAUUUAAUAAUAGUUUGAAAUUCUAUCAGUAAUGCAAAAGAGUGUUUUCUUCUACUUUAACAGUAGAUAUUAUUAAAAACAAAAAAAAAACAUGUUGAUUUGAUAAACAAGAAUGGUAUCUCCUUUGAUUUUUACACGUUUGGUCACUAACAAUGUUUGUGUGUGUGUGUGUUUAUUGACCAUUUGCACAUCUUUUCCUUUUUAAAUAUUGUAUGUUAAUGUUCUUGUUCAUUAUUCUUUCGAGCACAAAGUUUUAGAGAAGGCUGAAUUAUUUCAUAAAAUACAAAUAAACCUGAAAUGAAUGAGAAGUAGAAUUUACCUUUUUAUACUAUUUAUCUUUUUGCAAUGUCACCUAAAAUAAUCACUGUCAUCUAAAAUUUUACUUUAGGGAAAGAAGACUCUGAAACAUAAGUAAAAAUUAGCUUAAAAUGCAGGAUAAAAGGGGCGCCUGGGUGACUCAGUUGGUUAAGCAUCUGACUUCGGCUCAGGUCAUGAUCUCACAGUUUGUUAGUUCAAGCCCCAUGUCGGGCUCUGUGCUGACAGCUCAGAGCCUGGAGCCUGCUUCGAUUCUGUGUCUCCCUCUCUCUGCCCCUUCCCCAGCUCUCUCUCUCUCUCUCUCUCUCUCUCUCUCUCUCUCUCUCUCUCUCAAAAGUAAAUAAACAUUAAAAAAAUUGUUUUUAAUGCGAGUAACAAAAUUCUUUUUCAUAUGGCUGCCUCAAUCUUAACAUACCUGCUUCAGAUUUUCCAAGACUUCAUGCCCAACCCUGAUUCCAUGAUAUUUGGAUGAUGAUAGGUCUGUGAAUUGCCAGAACUACUCCAACAGCAAAGAAAGGUCCUUUGAGUAAUAGCAAAAUCAAUGGGGAUGUCAUCCUCAAGGUUUUGAAAAUCAACGAUAAAUUGUCCAUGGUAGUAGUUGGUCUUGCUUAAUUUUCUUCUGUUUCCAGCUGAUUAUCAGUGAACAAAUAUUUUCAAUGUUUUGGAACAGAGAUUUCAAAUUUACAGCCUGAGGGAUGGAUUCAUUCAUAAUUUACUCUCUAUUCUCUUAUCCUGCUCUAUUUUCCUGUUGGUACUCACAACUAAUUAAUAUUAUAUAGCUAUUUGUUAUCUCUCCACUCCAAUGGAAUGUAAGAUCCACAAAUGCAGAAACUCUUUUAAUAACUGUAUCCCUGAUUCCUAGCAUAUAGUGGACUCUCAGAAAGUAUUUGUUGGAUGCAUGCAUUCAGUAAUCAUUCACUAAACCCUCACUGCAUCCCAGACACUGGGCUAUCAAGACUUGGGAUGUAAAAUUGCUUGCUCGGCUCGCAGAGUGUCUUUAACGUGUGAUACUCAUUUUUUUUUUAAUGUUUAUUUAUUUUUGAGAGAAACAAAGACAGAGCACACGCAGGGGAGGGGCAGAGAGAGAAGGAGAUCCAGAAUCUGAAGCAGGCUCCAGGCAAUGAGCUGUCAGCACAGAGCCUGACACGGGGCUCUGAGAUCAUGACCUAAGCCAAAAUCGGAUGCUUCACUGACUGAGCCACCCAGACGCCCCAACAUGUGAUACUCAUUAAAACCAGAUGGAAAACAAUGGGAAUGUUUGGAAAUAAAAUCUGCAUGUUGUGCCAGUGUGUAAAUUCAUUACCCAUCCAUCCAUCCAUUCAUUUCACAACCGUUUUCAGAGUCUACCUGCUUGUUACUGGGGACAAAAUAUCAAAGACAGACUGUGUCUCUGUAGAAAUGGCGUUUCUAGUCUAUCCAGAGAGACAGACAUUAAAUAAUAAUUACAACCGUGCCAAGUGCAGGAGAAAAGUGCAGGUGCACUUAUGAUGUUUCCCUGAGAAAAUGAGACUUAAACUUCUACCAAAGAGGUUAGAAGUUUAACAGGGGGAAGGAAGGCAAGAACAAUGCAGUUAAAGAAAACCACUUCUCAGGAAGGAGUCUGCUGUAUUAUAAGAACAAGGAAGAAAUGACAGCUCAGACCCAAGGAGGUAGAAGGGGGCCACACCGUUGUGCGGACCACGUGAAGGAUGCCUGCUUGGCUCCGUGGAUAAGCCAAGGCUUCCAAGCAGAGGAUCGGACUUCUCUGCUUAACAGACUACGGAGGUAUGGCCGGGUCCCUGUGUGGAACUGGAAGGGAGGACAGCUUCGAGAGAUACUGAGGAGGUUUACCUGGAACACUGACAACACUGAUUGGAAGGGCCUGGGGAAGGAGAAGUGUGUGAGACACAUACCAGGGUUCCUGGCUUGAACCACAGGGUGGGUGAUGGUACCUUUACUGGGAUGAGGAAUGUCAGGGAGACCCUCGUUUUGGAGGAUGAGUUCAAUGCCCAUCUAUGAAUGUACAUGACUGGAACACAAGUUUCAGAAACACGGUUACCCUUUACUGUGUGUGAUGCAACCUGAUAUUUUUUUAAAUCAACAUGAUGGAAGGGUAUUUUACAUAUAGUAAAGUAUAUCCAUUUUACAUGUUUAGUUUAAUGAGUUGUGAUAAAUGUAUAUACCUCUGCAUACCACUGCAUUCAAAUUAAAAUUUCUAUCACCUCCAAAAAUUCCCCAUCAUCCAUGUGCGGUUAAUUACUCUUCAUCCCUGGCCACAGGUUUUUGGAUGAGUCUGCAUUGUCCACAAUUUCACAUAAUUGGAAUUACACAGUAUACACAUUCAUUUAUAUGUGACAUCUUUCACUCAGCAUAAUGUUUCUGAGAUUCAUCUAUGACAGCAGUCCACACUAUGGCCUAUUUUUAAAAAAAUUUUUUAAUAUUUAUUUCUUUAUUUAUUUUGAGAGAGAGCAUUCAUGAGAGUGGGAAAAGAGCAGAGAGAGACAGAGGGAGAGAAAAUCCCAAGCAGGAUCCAUGCUGUCAGCAAAGAACCCGGCACGGGUCUCAAACUCACGAACCAUGACCUGAGCCGAAAUCAAGAGUUGGAUGUUCAGCCCACUGAGCCACCCAGGCGCCCCCACUACCUACUUAUAGAAAGGUCUAAGAGCUAAGAAUGGCUUUCUAUUUUCAAAUGGUUGGGAAAACACUGGAAAAGAACAUUUUAUGAUGUGGAAAUUGUAUUAAAUUCAAAAUUCAGUGUCCAUGAAUAAAUUUUUAUUGGAACAUA